CCCGGUGAGAUUUUAACGGCCGCAGUUAAGAGCUGUGCUAAGGUAGCGUAGUAAGUUGUCCUUUAAAUGGGGAAAGGAAUGAAUGGUUUGACGUGAGGGUGUCUGUCUCGGGUGAAGCAAAAAAAAUUUUCUUCCCAGUGAAAAGCCUGGGAUUAUCUUAAAAGACGAGAAGACCCUUUCGAGCUUGAUAAAAACUCUAAAUUUUCUUAUUGUAAAAGUUUGGUUGGGGCAACCUAGGAGCAAAAAAAGACUCCUUAAUGGACAUGAGGAUCCAAAAUUUUUGAAAAAAGAAAAAGCUACCGUAGGGAUAACAGCGUUAUCCUCUCUGAGAGAACAAAUUGAAGGGAGG
rnacentral:rRNA from 1 species